GGCCAUGGGGAGAGCAAUAACAGAAACUUACCGCAAGGCGAGCACACAGCAGGAGACAUUUUCAGAGGAAGAACUCCCAUUCGACAAGUGUUUUGGCCCUUAUACCUGACACUCUAUGGAAGCCAGGCCCACCCAGGUCAUGACUCCUAGGUGUCCUCCUGCUGCUUUCCAAAACCCUGAUUUGAACCUUGGUCAUUCUUUUUGUGAACUUGUGUUCCCAGGUCUGUGUUUCAGCCUACUAGACCACUCUGACCAAUGAAGGAACUAGUUCUCUUCCUCCUGAUAUUUCAGUGAU